rnacentral:lncRNA from 1 species
AUGGGGAGGCCCUGCUGGAGCAGCCGCGGUGCCCCUCUCGAGGCUGUCGCCCACAUCCACGUGCUGCCAACACCCACGCGGAGUCCUCCAGCGGCAGAAAGCUGUGUGUCUUCGAGUUUGUCCUGCCGUUCCGUGCCCAAUGCAGACUCAGCGGGGGCCAGUCGGGGAGAGACUUCGCUGGGGGCCCCAGGGAAGCCGGCAGCCAGAGCCUCGGGGGAUUUCCCAUUAUGUGCCAAGAAUGUGAACCAUGCGUCCCCAGUGUGUUCGGUUCCCACAGAAUCCCCUCGCCUGGCCGGCACCGGGCCCCGCGGCUCCACAGGGCCGCAGGCGCGGUGGCAUCUCCGCGCGCUCACGGAACACCUCCCUGGCCCCGGGCUGUGUCGCCCACCCCAGCGGUCUGCGCCAUCGCCCCGAGGCCGGGUCCCACCACGCUGGCCGCCAGGUCAGCACCUCCCACUGGCUCCCACCACAGCGAGCAUAACACACAAGGCCCCCCAGCGUCUUGGAGACCCCCCAAACCUAAGCCCCCUCGCCGGCGCGCAGCCAGCCCGCCCCUGAUGCCUAGGCGGUGGAAAAAGGCAGAGCGAGGGCACGGAGGCAGCCAUGGCAGACUGGCCAGCCUCCGCUAGGGGUUCUGGGUAAAAAUUGCGAUGGACGGAAGUUGGGGUGGAGAGGGGCGUGUUCAGCUCCCGUGCAGGUCCCUGGUUGGUCCACGGUGCCCCUGGCCCUCCUUUGAUUGGUCGGCGUUCUGUCGGGACUUCUCAACGCUGACCUACUGGGUGGUGGCUCUCUGCUCAGGGCCACACCCCUCAAGGCCUGAAUAUCCUCCAGGUGACCUUGAGGGUCUUGAGGUCAGGGUCCUCGUGGGUCCAGCCGCACCCCCUCUCAUUCGUGAACUUUAGUACAGGCGGGGCAAGGGAGGCAGGCGUCUGCGGGAGCCCGGGCACAAUGGCGUCUCACCCCGAGGGGCACGGUUUCUUCUACAAGAUCCAACAGGUGGCCGCCUGCACCCCCAAACCGGCCCCCAGCACUCAGCUCCAGCCGCGUCGGCCUCGGGCCUUGGCGUCUGCCCCCUUCUCUGCCUGUCGCCGUCCUCCGCCACACCUCCCGGCUGACUCCUUGUCACUCAGGGUGGUGCCCGCCGCCGCAUCCUCACAGCUCAGCUAGGAAUCAAAUUCCAAAUGCUCACAGAAAAAUGGUCCAAGAGGCGCCUACUUUGGCACAAAAAAUGUUACCAUCCACGCCCACGACGUGCCUUCCGACAGUUCAGGAAAAUGUGCAUUAUAGAUUGCAGAUUGUUGGCACCGAAACAAGCUUUAUUUUCUAAAAACGAUUUAUUUUUUAUUUAUUUGUAGAGAGAAGGAAGACAGAGAGAGAUUUUCCAUCAGCUGGUGUGCUUCCCAAAUGGCCACAACAGCCAGGGCUGGGCCAGCCUGAAGCCAGGAGCCAGGAGCUUCUUCCACGUCUCCCAUGCGGGUGCAGGGGCCCAAGCACUUGGACCAUUUUCCACUGCUUUCCCAGGCCAUAACAGGGAGCUGGAUCAGAAGUGGAGCAGCCG